rfam:Picea glauca, whole genome shotgun sequence.
UUAAAGGUGUUUCUAAACACCACCAUCAUACUCGAUUACCUCCAU